rnacentral:rRNA from 1 species
UACGUAGGGUGCAAGCGUUGUCCGGAAUCAUUGGGCGUAAAGCGCGUGUAGGCGGCCCGGUAAGUCCGCUGUGAAAGUCGGGGGCUCAACCCUCGAAUGCCGGUGGAUACUGUCGGGCUAGAGUGCGGGAGAGGCGAGUGGAAUUCCUGGUGUAGCGGUGAAAUGCGCAGAUAUCAGGAGGAACACCAAUUGCGAAGGCAGCUCGCUGGAACGUAACUGACGCUGAGACGCGAAAGCGUGGGGAGCAAACAGG